rnacentral:ncRNA from 1 species
UGGGGACACGCAGGCUCCCCUCUAGACGGCCUCUCCGUCCAAGCUCUGU